CCAGCACCUGCGGUAAUUCCAGCUCCAAUAGCGUAUAUUAAAGUUGUUGCAGUUAAAAAGCUCGUAGUUGGAUGUGUGGGGCGCGGGGCCGGUCGGCGCUUCGGCGCCGGACGAGGCUGUACCGCGGUCCAUCCUCGCGAGGAGGGCGCGUGGCAUUCGUUUGUCGUGCGUCGGACUCGCGUCGUUUACUGUGAGAAAAUUAGAGUGUUUAAAGCAGGCCGGAGGGCCGUGAAUACCUAAGCAUGGGAUAAUGAGAUAGGACUGUGGUGCUAUUUCAUUGGUUUGCGUGCCACGGUAAUGGUCAACAGGGACAGUUGGGGGUAUUCAUAUUCGGUUGUCAGAGGUGAAAU
rnacentral:rRNA from 1 species